rnacentral:misc_RNA from 1 species
GGAAGUAAAAGUCAUAACAAGGUUUCCGUAGGUGAACCUGCGGAAGGAUCAUUGCCACACACGAUCCAAGAUCGACACUUUUUGUGAACUGUUAAACUCUUUUUUUAUUGAUUGUACUUGUUGAUGUAAAAGUCUUCAGGGAAGUCAGUAAAAACUAUAUUAAACACCCCUUUUUAAACAUGAAUUAUACACUGGAACAUUUAAGUUAUAUGUCUUUACCGACUAUAACGCUAGAUUAUUAAUUGUAAAACAACUUUUAACAAUGGAUAUCUAGGUUCUU